AACGAACGUUGGCGGCGUGGAUGAGGCAUGCAAGUCGAACGCGAAAGCCGCAAGGCGAGUAAAGUGGCGGACGGGCGAGUAACACGUAAUCAAGCUACCUGCGAGACGGGGAUAACUUCGGGAAACCGAAGCUAAGACCCGAUGGUCUUCUAGGAACGCAUGUUCCAUGAAGUAAAUGGGCGGGAUCCUCCGGGAUCGCCUGCUCGCAGAGGUGAUUGCGGCCCAUCAGCUAGUUGGUAGGGUAAUGGCCUACCAAGGCAACGACGGGUAGCCGGCCUUAGAGGGUGGUCGGCCGCACUGGGACGUGAGACACUGCCCACGACUCCUACGGGAGGC
rnacentral:rRNA from 1 species